rnacentral:lncRNA from 1 species
UUGAAGUUCUCAAUGAAGAGACACGAUUCAGCCGUCAUCCCUGAUAUUCGGCCCUGCUCAGUCAUCUUUGUCCCUCUUCGUUCUUCUCUUACUCGUGAACAGUCUUUACGUAAGUUACUGGACUUUCAGAAAGUUCCGCUUCCUCAUCUGUAAACUGAGAGCCUGGGUACUCUGCCUCCCUAACCCCAAACAAGGUAACGUUUGUGGAAGUGUCCUGAUGAAAGAUACAGCCCAACAACCACGAGGUGGUAGUUGUGCUGGUAACAAUGUGAAGNNNNNNNNNNNNNNCGACACCCGGACGCGGCUACCUGGCCUACUCUAAGAGCAGACGACAACGGGGGCUCCACAGUGCAGCGGGUGCUCUAUCCAGGCAGCAGCAAACUCCAGCAGGAACACUGCCUGACGGACAAGCCCAGGGACCACUGCCUAUCGCUGUCCUAAGACAUGGUUGAAAGACCUGCUCACUUCUCCUGGGAACCCCACUCCUCAGAGGGUCGACUGCUAAAUCAGGAUACUCUUCCAUCUGAUGGGAUGAACAUUGGCCAUCAUGACAUACUCCUCUGGUGGAAUGGAAAAUGAAUGUUCCCUACGUAAUGAGUUCUGUGUGGAGAACUGAGUUACCUGUUUCUGGCUGAUUCCAACCAUCUUUCAGUGGCUCUAUCUCAUUUGAUCUUUAGUCCAGCUAUGACCCGAGGUCACAGAUGUAUCCAUUUUUAAAUGUCUGGAUCCCAAAGGAUCAUUUUAAGGAGGCCUGGAGGUGCACGCUCUCCACUGGAGAAAGGACGGACUUGUCUGCUCCCCCGUUUUCUCUGUAUCCGCCAUCAAGCUGCUCAAAGCCAGAACCUGCAGCAAUGUUGCUCAUUACAUACAGCACAGCACCCCAAGACCUAGAGUCUACACCUGCAAGUCAAGUUCAUGCGAACGACAUUAGAGCUGCCAGGAGAGGGCAGAUGCGAGCAGGGCAGAAGGAAAUCCCUACCCAGAGGUCUAGAGCAUGAAAGGAAGGCAGCUGGAGCAAAGUGGGGCACAGGUUCUAGGAAAAACACCGAAGGGAGCCAACGAAAAGCUACAAGUGGAAAGAGAAAUGAAGUCUAAGAAACACUGAGCUAUAACCAGGCCACAGAAAACAGCUGCCAAAGGCACCGUAAGAAAGAUGCUGGGGACUUACCCGUGUGUGGUUCAUCUUAGGGAUAAAAAGGAGACAGAGAUUGGAGGGUGGGAGGAGGAGUGAGCAAGAGCUCUAAAUCCAGAAGCCAGAAGGCCCAACGCCAGAAUCAGGGAGAGCUUCAGUGUCAGAUCAAAUUUCAGGAGCUGGGCAGGAACUGUCAGAGUUUCUAGGGCUAAGUUUAUAAGGCAAUUAUCCUGAAAAUAUGCCCAGGAGUAAGACUUUUGAGACAACAAACCAUUAUUCUCAGUCUUGUGAUUUCUGAUCUUGAAGAUUUUUUCAUCCUUUCCAAACUAGGAAGGUAUGGAAGGUUCUGACAGACAUUUUGAAAUGUUACAGAGCUCAAAAUACAAGUAGUUCUAGGGCAUGGCCUGGCAGAGAGCACACCGUCCCUGAAGGUAUGUUGAACACUGAUUUAUCCUAGAUGAGCAGUGCUGCACAGAAGGACACCGUAUAUAAAGUGUACCCCAGGAAUGAGAGCCCCUGGCGUUACACAACGUGCAGGCUUGGUGUCCUCCUGGGGCGAGGUGCUGUUCCAGGCCUCAGGGACACAGCACUGAACAAGAGAGAAAACAGCCCUGCCCCCACAAGACUUGUAUUCUAGUGGGACAAUCACAAGUAAGCAGAGUCUCACCUGAAUAAUGUGAGCAACCCCCGUGAAUCUCUGAAGGAAAAAGUACUCCGGGUAAAGGAAGUAACAAGCACAAAGUUCUUAAGGAAGACCUGUUCUUGGCGCAUCUGAAGACACAGCAGGAAGGCCAAAUGUGCUUGGAGAAGACAAGCAAAGGGAAGAGUGUUUAGGAAGUGAGACUGGAAAGACAGGAAGAGCUAAA